rnacentral:rRNA from 1 species
GACGAACGCUGGCGGCGUGCUUAACACAUGCAAGUCGAACGGAAAGGCCCUGCUUUUGUGGGGUGCUCGUGUGCCGAACGGGUGAGUAACACGCGAGUAACAUGCCCCUGACUUUGGGAUAAAUUCAGGAAACAGGGGAUCAUACCGGAGAGGAGCUCCUGCUGCAUGGUGGGGGUUGGAAAGAUCCGGCGGUUGGGGCUGGACUGGCUGCUUAUCCGCUUGUUGGUGGGGUAGUGGCUUACCAAGGCUUUGACGGGUAGCCGGCCUGAGAGGCUGACCGGCCACAUGGGGCCUGAGAUACGCACCAGAAUCCUACGGGAGGCAGCGGUGGGGAGUAUGACAGAAUGGGCGGAAGCCUGAUGCAACAACGCCGCGUGCGGGAUGCUGGGCUACGGGUUGUGAACCGCUGUGGCAGGUGACGAAGAGUGAGUGACGGUAAUGGAUAAGGAAGCACCGGCUAACUACGUG